AAAACUGCGAAGUAAAACACAACUAAAAUGUCGCUUCCUAAUUUGGAACUUUUGAAGAAGAUGCGGGUAAAGAAAAAAGAAAACAUAGCUCCCGGGCUUUCUGUAUAUGCCGCUUGUCUUUAAGAUAUAUUUUUGUUCGUUUUCUCUUUGGUAUAAAUAAUACACCAACAAAUACCUGGUCCUUUUUAACCUGCCGCCAACUACAGUUACCGGAUAAAUCCUGAAAGAAAAACAAACACAAAAAUAAAUAUUAAAGACAACCAGCUGCGCCAUUAUUUCUACUAUUAUUAAUAUGACUUAAUAAGAGAAAGUAAACCUUAAUAAUAUUCAAAAAAUAACAGGCUUGAAGGCGAUCUUUUCAUUUGAUUAUACGCAAGACAAAUAGAAUUGCCAGACAAGGAAACAUAAGUUAAAAAGCCAUGUCCGGAAGCUGCUACAGACCGGAACAUAUGAAAAAGAAACACCAUAACGACCUACCUAUUCCGCAGAAUUUACCCACACUAAAGAAAACCAUAAUUUUCUUCUGAGAAUCAUCGAGAGCACAAGAG